UACGUAGGGGGCGAGCGUUGUCCGGAAUUACUGGGCGUAAAGGGUGCGUAGGUGGUAAAUUAAGUUGGAUGUGAAAUACCCGGGCUUAACUUGGGGGGUGCAUCCAAUACUGGUCUACUAGAGUGCAGGAGAGGGAAGCGGAAUUCCUAGUGUAGCGGUGAAAUGCGUAGAUAUUAGGAGAAACACCAGUGGCGAAGGCGGCUUUCUGGACUGUAACUGACACUGAGGCACGAAAGCGUGGGGAGCAAACAGG
rnacentral:rRNA from 1 species